UUGCAAUCAGAAAAUGCAGAGUAUUUGCAUGAAUAGACAACAAGAGAAACAUCCAGAAGAUAGAGGAGAGGGGUUGAAUACAUUGUGCCAAUGAUAGAAAGCAAGCCUACCAGCUGGAGAACAAAUAAGCUGAUAAGACUCCUGGAAAAAAAUAACAAAUGCAAGAAAACAUCUGGAGAUGAGGUGCACACAAAGCCAAGCAUUCAUGUCGAUCAAGCCCCUGGAUGGCAAUUGAGCCUCUGAUCCUCCUUUUAACUUGAUGUUUUGAUGACCUGAAGACAUCCAAAGAAGAAAGUGCUGUUCCAGGAAAAGAACUGGACCAAAUUCAAAAGUUAAUGCUGGAGAAGAAACAAGGAAGUUGAAGUAAACAACAUUAAGGAAGGGUAAGCAAAGUGACAAAUCACAGCAAAUAAUUGACAAUUUAUUCCUACCAAGCCAAA
rnacentral:lncRNA from 1 species